AUUAUGAUGACGAGGAAGGGAAUGCUAGCCAACCACUCCCCUCCCCGCCCCGGCCUCUAUCAGGGGUAAGCCCAGGAGGCAGGAGUGCAGAGUGGCUGAGGGCAAGGCCUCUGCCCUGUUGGAAUAGCCUGGGCCUGCCCCUUCCUAGCCUGUGAGCUGUGACGGGGAUUCAGUGAGGGUCUCAGGCUGUGUACAGCCCAGGACAGUGCCUGGCUCAGAGUGAGUGCUCAACAAGCUUUAAGUGUCGUUAGUAUUCUUGCUGAAAACAUGAAAACUAACCCCAGAGCUAAGCAGUGGAAUUCUGCCCGUGUUGGGGGUGAAGAGACCAAAGUUCAGAAAAAUUCAUUAACAUGUCCAGGAUCAUACAGCUGGAACAGGGGAACAGGCAGGGCUGAGCUCCAAGUCCAGGCAGGCUGAGCCCAGAGCCCUCGCUUUGAAGCUGUUUUAUAUGACUCCUUAGCAGGAAGCUACUCAGGGCGGACUGACUCAAGAGCAUUGUUUCCUGGAACUCCUGAGUCCAAGAGCUGGGGGAAUGCUGGAAACAAGGAGAAGGAAGGCAGAGAAUGCUUGUGGAGGCAGCAAGGAAUAAAUAGAUGCAAGAAUAUUGGAAGGUGUCAUAAGAGGGAUAAGGAACCAAUCGCACCUCUGUCUCGCCCCAUCCCCUCUCCAGGCUUGGGAGCAGAUCCACACCACUACAGCUAUGAUUUGGAAGGAGCACAGCCAUCACUGAUGUCACAACAGUCCCCGCAAUUCCACAGCACAGUGUUGAUUUCAUUGCACCACAGUGUAGCUCUAGGAGUGAGUAAAAGCUCCCUGAGGCCUCCCAGAAGCUGAGAAAAUGCUGAUACGAUACUUCCUGUACAGCCUGCAGAACUGUAAGCCAAUUAAACGUCUUUUCUUUAUAAAUUA